rnacentral:rRNA from 1 species
UACGGGGGGAGCAAGCGUUGUUCGGAUUUACUGGGCGUAAAGGGCGCGUAGGCGGUCAGCACAAGUCAAUUGUGAAAUCUCCGAGCUUAACUCGGAAAGGUCAACUGAAACUGUGCGACUAGAGUGCGGAAGGGGCAACUGGAAUUCUUGGUGUAGCGGUGAAAUGCGUAGAUAUCUGGAGGAAUACCGGUGGCGAAGGCGGCAUCCUGGACCGACAUUGACGCUGAACGGCGAAAGCUAGGGGAGCAAACGGG